rnacentral:rRNA from 1 species
AGAGUUUGAUCAUGGCUCAGAACGUACGCUGGCGGCACGCCUAACACAUGCAAGUCGAACGAAGUAGCAAUACUUAGUGGCAGACGGGUGAGUAACAUGUGGGUAUCUACCCUUUGGCCUGGAAUAACACGAGGAAACUUGUGCUAAUACCGGAUAAGUCUUUACGGAGAAAGCUUUAUGCACCAUUGGAUGAGCCCGCACUUGAUUAGUUUGUUGGUAGGGUAAUGGCCUACCAAGACUAUGAUCAAUAGCUGAUUUGAGAGGAUGAUCAGCCACAUUGGGACUGAGACACGGCCCAAACUCCUACGGGAGGCAGCAGUGGGGAAUCUUGCACAAUGGAGGAAACUCUGAUGCAGCGAUGCCGCGUGAGUGAAGAAGGCCUUUGGGUUGUAAAGCUCUUUCGUCGGGGAAGAAAAUGACUGUACCCGAAUAAGAAGGUCCGGCUAACUUCGUGCCAGCAGCCGCGGUAAUACGAAGGGACCUAGCGUAGUUCGGAAUUACUGGGCUUAAAGAGUUCGUAGGUGGUUGAAAAAGUUAGUGGUGAAAUCCCAGAGCUUAACUCUGGAACUGCCAUUAAAACUUUUCAGCUAGAGUAUGAUAGAGGAAAGCAGAAUUUCUAGUGUAGAGGUGAAAUUCGUAGAUAUUAGAAAGAAUACCAAUUGCGAAGGCAGCUUUCUGGAUCAUUACUGACACUGAGGAACGAAAGCAUGGGUAGCGAAGAGGAUUAGAUACCCUCGUAGUCCAUGCCGUAAACGAUGUGUGUUAGACGUUGGAAAUUUAUUUUCAGUGUCGCAGGGAAACCGAUAAACACACCGCCUGGGGAGUACGACCGCAAGGUUAAAACUCAAAUGAAUUGACGGGGACCCGCACAAGCGGUGGAGCAUGUGGUUUAA